GGAAAAUGUGAUGACUUCUGUGAAAAUUGGUAUAACAUAAUGCGCUGGUAUCAAUUUUACUUUAGUCGCGCUGGGCGAGACGAGAGGGUGUCAGACUCUUACUGACUAAAACACCCUGUUCCUACUCCUGUUUUUCGAGCCGGAGCGCAGAGCCCCGGUAAAAGUUUAAAAAGGAGCACUUGAUCCGGUUCUCAGAGCGUAAAGACCAGUCCUGGAAAUAAAAGUAAGUUACAGCAAAAUUAAUAUUUUUUUUAAUAGGAAUUAAAUUUGAUAACGCGUAUGUAGAUAACUUUUUUAGUAUGCUAUAGUGAAUAUUUGGUACGCUUACAGUUUUUAUAUUCAAACGUCAAUCGCGCAUAGUUUACAAGCUGCAGGUGGUGCAUGCAGAUGUGGAUGUACCCUAAUAUAAUUAAAUGAAAAAUUUAAAAACCCCCGACACAAAAUCUUAAUUUCCCUUUAAAAAGUAAAAAAUAAUAAAAGAAACUUAAUCUUAAAGUACCUAAGAAUGUACUAAUAAUUCUAAAAAAAAUUACGUCGCGUUGGGGGACCGCUCCUAAUUAUUUCUUACUUAUCUACGAUUUGUUCAUAAGUAUCACAUUAUUGGUGUUAACAUUAAAGUAAAUUGAUGUUUAAGUACUUAACUAUAACGC